GGUACAUCUCUAUCCUCCUGUAGCAGUAGCCAUUCUCCUAAGCAGCAUCAGGCAUUUUCCGCUUUUGUGAAGCCAUUAAUAGUGACUAAUUUUUAUAUUUCGGUAUAUGCUAUGUGUAUAUUGAUGCAUCAUAAUGAAUUGAUUAUCAAGGUGCUGAUUCAAUGCAUCAGUCUGGAAAGUCAGAAUCAAGUUUUGGGGGUAAGCUAAAGACACUCCUGCUUUGUGACUGUACGGUCUGGCCUUCACGUGCUGCACAUAGACCCACGAAGUAGGAGUGCUGCCUCCUGGAUUUGUGAAGCGUAGGGUGGCGGAAUAAGGCUCCGUCAUAUUCAGAAGAGAAGCCCCACUUGAUGAUCUUUUCAGUACGAUGCUUUUGGGAAACGCCAAAUUUGCAGCACAUAAAUCAUUCUUUUUGCAAGCUAUGGCAGAAAUGGUGAAGUCCCGGAGGUACAUGUUAUAGCUACCAUGCCCUCUGCAGGCAUUGGCAGCCCUUGUAAAGGUACAUGUUAUAGCUACCAUGCCCUCUGCAGGCAUUGGCAGCCCUUGUAAAGGUACAUGUUAUAGCUACCAUGCCCUCUGCAGGCAUUGGCAGCCCUUGUAAAGGUACAUGUUAUAGCUACCAUGCCCUCUGCAGGCAUUGGCAGCCCUUGUAAAGGUACAUGUUAUAGCUACCAUGCCCUCUGCAGGCAUUGGCAGCCCUUGUAAAGGUACACGUUAUAGCUACCAUGCCCUCUGCAGGCAUUGGCAGCCCUUGUAAAGGUACACGUUAUAGCUACCAUGCCCUCUGCAGGCAUUGGCAGCCCUUGUAAAGGUACACGUUAUAGCUACCAUGCCCUCUGCAGGUAUUGGCAGCCCUUGUAAAGGUACACGUUAUAGCUACCAUGCCCUCUGCAGGUAUUGGCAGUCCUUGUAAAGGUACACGUUAUAGCUACCAUGCCCUCUGCAGGUAUUGACAGCCCUUGUAAAGGUACACGUUAUAGCUACCAUGCCCUCUGCAGGUAUUGGCAGCCCUUGUAAAGGUACACGUUAUAGCUACCAUGCCCUCUGCAGGUAUUGGCAGUCCUUGUAAAGGUACACGUUAUAGCUACCAUGCCCUCUGCAGGUAUUGACAGCCCUUGUAAAGGUACACGUUAUAGCUACCAUGCCCUCAGGCAUUGACAGCCCUUGUAAAGGUACACGUUAUAGCUACCAUGCCCUCCGCAGGUAUUGGCAGUCCUUGUAAAGGUACACGUUAUAGCUACCAUGCCCUCCGCAGGUAUUGGCAGCCCUUGUAAAGGUACACGUUAUAGCUACCAUGCCCUCUGCAGGUAUUGGCAGCCCUUGUAAAGGUACACGUUAUAGCUACCAUGCCCUCUGCAGGUAUUGGCAGCCCUUGUAAAGGUACACGUUAUAGCUACCAUGCCCUCUGCAGGUAUUGGCAGCCCUUGUAAAGGUACAUGUUAUAGGAGACUGAAUGCUCUUUUAUUGGCACAGGGAGGUUAUACAAAAAAUGUACAAAAUAACAUACAUUUCUCUAGUUCUUUUUGGCAUAAUUUACUGACUUUGCUGCAGCAUCAUAAUGGCAGCUGUCAGGGACACAUACAGUCAUAUCACUGUAACGAG